rnacentral:lncRNA from 1 species
GGUCCCUCCAAGGCUCUGGCACCGUCCCCGCUUUUGAACUAGCUGGCCCCACUCUAGGUUACGACCUCGUGGCCUGGGGCAUGACUACAUUUCUCGACCAUUUCCUCCCUAUCUCUUUCUGCGGCUUGACGCCGCCCCAGUCCUUACCCUUCCUUUUUGGCGCUACAGUUGCUGCUGGAGGAUGUGGUCCGGCUGCGGGGGUCCUCACGGCGCACCGAGGCGAGGCGCUCUGGUGACAAGUAGCGGCGGACACUGCUAAAAGAGAGCACACAGGUCUUGGAAGAGGCUGGGGGUCCCGGCCUUGUGCCUUACCUGCGCCCGGAGGUCGCCUCCUUCUUGGGAGAGGAUGGGGACGUGGCAUAGCCACCCACGCGCCGCGGGGGUCCCGAGCCAUUAAGGGGCGUCCUGGUGGGAAGGCCUUUCAAGAGCUGACACACUGGAGGGAUGGGGUUAGGGGACAGAAGAGGGCGACGCAGAGCAUCCGCCAGCGCCGCCUUUAGGACCGCCAGCUCGUCUUCCUGUAACUGCAGCCGCUGCUCCAGCGCCGACACGCGGUCGUCCACUUCCAUACCGCUCGUGCCCGACAAAUUGUCAUCUGGAAGACGGGGGAGUGCCGGCUGCAGGGCCACCCAGGAGCUCCAGUGCCCAAGGGGUCCCUCCCGCCUUCCUGGGUCUAAGCGGGGGGCCAGCCACGCCCCUUUCCUGUCCCGCUACCUGGGGCUGGGACACUUGGACAUGAGCCAAGGAAGAGGACUCUGAAGGGGGAAGGAAAUCCCCACAGCUCUCCAACCCAUCCGCACACUCCUCUCUGCCACAGCGCGCUGGCCGUGUGACCUUGGGGAAGUCCCUUCCCUCUUAUUUUCUAAGAGUCUGUGAACCCAGGAGCCUCUCGCUCUGGCUUUAAGAUGCUAUGACUAAGACGUGACCAGGCGCAGUGGCUCACGCCUGUAACCCCAGCACUUUGGGAGGCCGAGGCGGGCGUAUCACGAGGUCAGGAGAUCGAGACCAUCCUGGCCAACAUGGUGAAACCCCGUCUCUACUAAAAUAAAAUUAAAUUAAAAAUAAAAUAAAAUUUAAAAAAAAAAAAAAAAAA